rnacentral:rRNA from 1 species
GAUGAACGCUGGCGGCGUGCCUAAUACAUGCAAGUCGAGCGAACAGACGAGGAGCUUGCUCCUCUGACGUUAGCGGCGGACGGGUGAGUAACACGUGGAUAACCUACCUAUAAGACUGGGAUAACUUCGGGAAACCGGAGCUAAUACCGGAUAAUAUAUUGAACCGCAUGGUUCAAUAGUGAAAGACGGUUUUGCUGUCACUUAUAGAUGGAUCCGCGCCGCAUUAGCUAGUUGGUAAGGUAACGGCUUACCAAGGCAACGAUGCGUAGCCGACCUGAGAGGGUGAUCGGCCACACUGGAACUGAGACACGGUCCAGACUCCUACGGGAGGCAGCAGUAGGGAAUCUUCCGCAAUGGGCGAAAGCCUGACGGAGCAAAGCCGCGUGAGUGAUGAAGGUCUUCGGAUCGUAAAACUCUGUUAUUAGGGAAGAACAAAUGUGUAAGUAACUAUGAACGUCUUGACGGUACCUAAUCAGAAAGCCACGGCUAACUACGUG